rnacentral:tRNA from 1 species
AGGAUUGUAGUUAAACUUAACAUUUGAUUUGCAUUCAAAAAAUAUUAAAAAAAAUUUUAAUCCAUCCUA